rnacentral:sRNA from 1 species
CUGUAGUGGACUCCAUUUUGGCCAUUAAAAAGCAAGAUGAACCUAUUGAUCUCUUCAUGAUUGAGAUCAUGGAGAUGAAACAUAAAUCUGAAACUGAUACAAGCUUAAUCAGAGGGCUUGUUUUGGACCACGGAGCACGGCAUCCUGAUAUGAAGAAAAGGGUGGAGGAUGCAUACAUCCUCACUUGUAACGUGUCAUUAGAGUAUGAAAAAACAGAAGUGAAUUCUGGCUUUUUUUACAAGAGUGCAGAAGAGAGAGAAAAACUCGUGAAAGCUGAAAGAAAAUUCAUUGAAGAUAGAGUUAAAAAAAUAAUAGAACUGAAAAGGAAAGUCUGUGGCGAUUCAGAUAAAGGAUUUGUUGUUAUUAAUCAAAAGGGAAUUGACCCCUUUUCCUUAGAUGCUCUUUCAAAAGAAGGCAUAGUCGCUCUGCGCAGAGCUAAAAGGAGAAAUAUGGAGAGGUAUCCGAGUAAUUUGACUUUUACUCAUUUUGCAAGUGAAUUGGGAUUAUUUCUUUUUCCUUAUACUUUAUUUUUGGGUUUUUCAACUGUAUAGUUAAUUGGCAUUAACUAUAUUCACAUUGUGCACCCCGUCAGCACUGUCCAUCUCUAGGACGUUUUUCAUCAUCACAAACUGAAACUGUAUACCCAUUAAAUAGUUACUCCCCAUUUCUCCCUCCCCCUUGCCCCUUGUAAACAUUAUUUUACUUUUUGUUUCUGAAUUCAAUAUACUUUUUUCCAAAGAGCUCCCCACGAUAAAAAGCUUUUUU